AGGCAGCAGCUGUGCGGCCUGCAGCACUGAGCAGCUGCACUUGGCUCCUGGGCAGGCAGCGGGGCCCGGGGCCUGCCGCCUGCACUCAGUCCCUGCUGCUCUGCAAGAUGCUGGCUCCAGGCGCUCCCUGAGCUUUGAGCGAUGCCCCUGUUUUCCCUCUCUCCUCUGCUUAAAGCUCUGGAAACACACCAUGCUGCUGUGAUAUAAAAAGCACAUUCAGAUCUCAGGGCACUGUCACCCUUGUACACUGACUUCUAUUGUUACGGGAUGAACUGACAGGCUCCCUUCCGGAAUGGUGUUCAGCUGGAGCAGUUUUGCCUAUGUCAUAUUACAUAAGAACUGCAAGUACCUACUAAAAGGCGGCAUUUGGGGAUGAUUAGAUCAGUCCAGGCACCUCAGACAGAUCGUCAGUCUGCUGGAAAAAGUCAAUGACUUUGCUCCCUUGUUCAUCUCUCUCUGUUGUAUUGAACACCCGACUUUUGGAUUCCCGAGUGAGGAAUUCACAAAUAUUUGGGACAGGAAAGACAAUCUUUUCCAUUGUUCUAUCAUGGCGAACAAUCUAUAAAUAAAAUGCACAUUUUUGCCAGAGUCAGUGACUAUCCAACCAUUUUGUCAUAUCUUUUCUUGU